rnacentral:rRNA from 1 species
GCGAACCGAGGGAACUGAAACAUCUCAGUACCUCGAGGAAAAGAAAUCAACCGAGAUUCCCCUAGUAGCGGCGAGCGAACGGGGAGCAGCCCAGAGUCUUAAUCAGCAUUAGCAUCAGGAGAACGGUCUGGAAAGGCCGGCAGUAAAGGGUGAUAGCCCCGUAUCCGAAGGUGUUAGUGUUGUGAACUCGACGAGUAGGGCGGGACACGUGUUAUCCUGUCUGAAUAUGGGGGGACCAUCCUCCAAGGCUAAAUACUCCUGAUUGACCGAUAGUGAACCAGUACCGUGAGGGAAAGGCGAAAAGAACCCCGGCGAGGGGAGUGAAAUAGAACCUGAAACCGUGUACGUACAAGCAGUGGGAGCACCCUUGUGGUGUGACUGCGUACCUUUUGUAUAAUGGGUCAGCGACUUAUAUUCUGUAGCAAGGUUAACCGUAUAGGGGAGCCGUAGGGAAACCGAGUCUUAACUGGGCGAAUGAGUUGCAGGGUAUAGACCCGAAACCCGGUGAUCUAGCCAUGGGCAGGUUGAAGGUUGGGUAACACUAACUGGAGGACCGAACCGACUAAUGUUGAAAAAUUAGCGGAUGACUUGUGGCUGGGGGUGAAAGGCCAAUCAAACCGGGAGAUAGCUGGUUCUCCCCGAAAGCUAUUUAGGUAGCGCCUCGUGAACUCAUCUUCGGGGGUAGAGCACUGUUUCGACUAGGGGGUCAUCCCGACUUACCAACUCGAUGCAAACUACGAAUACCGAAGAAUGUUAUCACGGGAGACACACGGCGGGUGCUAACGUUCGUCGUGAAGAGGGAAACAACCCAGACCGCCAGCUAAGGUCCCAAAGUCAUAGUUAAGUGGGAAACGAAGUGGGAAGGCUCAGACAGCCAGGAUGUUGGCUUAGAAGCAGCCAUCAUUUAAAGAAAGCGUAAUAGCUCACUGGUCGAGUCGGCCUGCGCGGAAGAUGUAACGGGGCUAAACUAUGCACCGAAGCUGCGGCAGCGAUAUGUAAAUAUUGUUGGGUAGGGGAGCGUUCUGUAAGCCUGUGAAGGUG